UACGUAGGGCGCAAGCGUUUGUCCGGAAUUAUUGGGCGUAAAGAGCUCGUAGGCGGCCUGUUGCGUCCGCUGUGAAAUCCCGGGGCUCAACCCCGGGCCUGCAGUGGAUACGGGCUGGCUAGAGGCAGGCAGGGGAGAACGGAAUUCCUGGUGUAGCGGUGAAAUGCGCAGAUAUCAGGAGGAACACCGGUGGCGAAGGCGGUUCUCUGGGCCUGUACUGACGCUGAGGAGCGAAAGCGUGGGGAGCGAACAGG
rnacentral:rRNA from 1 species